rnacentral:rRNA from 1 species
GCAGGGAAUCUUGGGCAAUGGGCGCAAGCCUGACCCAGCGACGCCGCGUGGGGGACGAAGGCCUUCGGGUCGUAAACCCCUUUUCCGGGGGAAGAGAAAGGACGGUACCCUGGGAAUAAGCCUCGGCUAACUACGUGCCAGCAGCCGCGGUAAUACGUAGGAGGCGAGCGUUGUCCGGAUUUACUGGGCGUAAAGGGCGUGUAGGCGGUCGGGUAAGUCCCCUGUGAAAUUUCCUGGCUCAACUGGGAAAGGUCGGGGGAUACUGCUCGGCUUGAGGGCAGCAGAGGAGGGUGGAAUUCCCGGUGUAACGGUGAAAUGUGUAGAUAUCGGGAGGAACACCAGUGGCGAAGGCGGCCCUCUGGGCUGUUCCUGACGCUGAGGCGCGAAAGCGUGGGGAGCAAACCGGAUCAGAUACCCGUGUAGUCC